UAAGACGGAGGGGGCAAGCGUUGUCCGGACUCACUGGGCGUAAAGGGUGCGCAGGCGGUGGGGUGCGUCGCUGCUGAAAGCGCUCGGCUUAACCGAGCGAGGCGUGGCGAUACGACCCGACUGGAGCCUCUGAGAGGGUGGCGGAACUCCUGGUGUAGUGGUGAAAUGCGUAGAGAUCAGGAAGAACACCCGUGGCGCAAGCGGCCACCUGGCAGAGAGCUGACGCUGAGGCACGAGAGCGUGGGGAGCGAACCGGAUUAGAUACCCGGGUAGUCCACGCCGUAAACGAUGUCGACUCGGUGUGCGCUGGCCUUUUGGGCCGGUGUGUGCCUUAGCUCACGCGGGAAGUCGACCGCCUGGGGACUACGAGCGCAAGCUUA
rnacentral:rRNA from 1 species